rnacentral:pre_miRNA from 1 species
AAAAAGGCAAACCCUGGGUUUGCGUGUCCAACUUUGACUGUCCGUCUUAUAUGAAAUAUUUUUAUAAUUUAUAUUUUUAUUGUUGUUAGAUGAUAAAACAUGAUUAAUAUUUUAUGCGUGACUUGUCUUUUUAAUUUUUUUUUAAAAAAUUUCAAAUAAGACGAACGGUCAAACGUUGGACACGGAAACCAGGGUUUGUCUUUUU